CAUCAGUGAAGCCUGGAAAAUACCCCAAUGAUGUUAGCCCCCUCUACAGCUUUAUUACUUCUUUCAUGGGCAAGUUUCAGUAGCAGUACAACACCUUGCAAGAGGUGUGCCAAGAUAUGGUGUCCUGAAGUUUUAGAAGAAGAUUCAAACAGUUAUUUGAAGGAAGCCGCUAUGGAUCCGGAAAUAGUGGCCGUGUUAAACUCUGCAAGAACAGGUGACCAGAAAUCCUGCGUACACACUUGGUGCCCAGCAGUGCAACUUCCUUGUGUUAACACUUGGCUUAGAAGUUCUGGUGAUGAUCCAGAGACUAUCCCAACGACAACGACGACCGAAAGCGCCGCUGAAGAGA